rnacentral:rRNA from 1 species
CCCUUAGACGUUCUGGGCCGCACGCGCGCUACACUGACGGAGCCAGCGAGUAUAAACCUUGGCCGAGAGGUCUGGGAAAUCUUGUGAAACUCCGUCGUGCUGGGGAUAGAGCAUUGUAAUUAUUGCUCUUCAACGAGGAAUUCCUAGUAAGCGCAAGUCAUCAGCUUGCGUUGAUUACGUCCCUGCCCUUUGUACACACCGCCCGUCGCUCCUACCGAUGGGUGAUCCGGUGAAUGAUUCGGACUUCAGCGGCUCCCCUGGGGUGCGCCGGAGAAAGUUUUGUGAACCUUAUCACUUGGAGGAAGGAGAAGUCGUAACA